UUAUCAACUUUUCGAGUGCAAGUUCUUGACUAGUACAGUAUAUCACAUGACAUGAGAAUCUUCUCAUCAUUUAGGUUUAGGAUUCAAAAUGUCCACGAACACAACUUAAAAAUACAUUAAUUGUGUUUGGAGCCGUCCGAUUUAUGCGAGCCCACGUGCAUUAAGCGGUUCUGAAUUCAGUUUGCGUCCGGAAUUAUGUUUUAAAGUUGCUUCCUUCACACGUACUAUUUGAGGGGAAUAUUUAUGGGCAUGCUUUGCCUUUUUAGUGGCCACCAAUUAAUAGGCAAAAGUAGUAGUAGCAUCACCUAAUAGUGAACUCCCUUUUCGUCAAUUUCAUCACAUGUGCCAUGUUUUGUGGAAACUAGCUA